UCGAGAGGCAUCGGCAAUGGGGGAAACCCUGACCGUGCGACGCCGCGUGGGUGAUGAAGAUUCUUGGAUCGUAAAACCCUGUCAGGUGGGAAGAAACCGUAUUCGGUUAAUACCCGAGUACAUUGACGGUACCACCAGAGGAAGCUCCGGCUAACUCCGUGCCAGCAGCCGCGGUAACACGGGGGGAGCAAGCGUUGUUCGGAUUCAUUGGGCGUAAAGAGCUCGUAGGCGGCUCCGUAAGUCAGAGGUAAAAUCCCAUGGCUCAACCAUGGACCUGCCUUUGAAACUACAGAGCUUGAGGCCGGGAGAGGAAAGUGGAAUUCCUGGAGUAGCGGUGAAAUGCGUAGAUAUCAGGAGGAACACCAGUGGCGAAGGCGACUUUCUGGACCGGUUCUGACGCUGAGGAGCGAAAGCUAGGGGAGCGAACAGGAUUAGAUACCCGCGUAGUCC
rnacentral:rRNA from 1 species